CACCUUCCCAUCAACACAUCAAACAAUUUUGUAGCAAACCUUUCUUGUGACAGAAACAGAACGCUUCGGCUAUAAGCCUAUAUAUUUUCUUGGAAUACCGAAGUCGCAGAGGCUUUAGCUUGACGUUUACGGCAAACCGCUAACGAAGUGUUCGAUCUUGUGCUCUUAAGGCUAGUUUAACUAGCAAAUUAACCACUUGUCACGUAUUCACCAAAGCAGUAAAUUAAGAUCUGGC